GCCUAAAGCGUCCGUAGCCUGUUCUAUAAGUUUCCGGUUAAAUCCAUUAGCUCAACUAAUGGGCUGCCGAAAAUACUGUAGAACUAGGGAGUGGGAGAGGUAGACGGUAUUCGGUAGGAAGGGGUAAAAUCCUUUGAUCUAUUGAGGACCACCUGUGGCGAAGGCGGUCUACCAGAACACGUUCGACGGUGAGGGAUGAAAGCUGGGGGAGCAAACCGGAUUAGAUACCCGGGUAGUCCCAGCUGUAAACUAUGCAAACUCAGUGAUGCAUUGGCUUGUGGCUAAUGCAGUGUUGCAGGGAAGCCGUUAAGUUUGCCGCCUGGGAAGUACGUACGCAAGUAUGAAACUUAAAGGAAUUGGCGGGGGAGCACCACAAGGGGUGAAGCCUGCGGUUCAAUUGGAGUCAACGCCAGAAAUCUUACCCGGAGAGACAGCAGAAUGAAGGUCAAGCUGAAGACUUUACCAGACAAGCUGAGAGGUGGUGCAUGGCCGUCGCCAGCUCGUGCCGUGAGAUGUCCUGUUAAGUCAGGUAACGAGCGAGAUCCCUGCCUCUAGUUGCCACCAUUACUCUCAGGAGUAGUGGGGCGAAUUAGCGGGACCGCCGCAGUUAAUGCGGAGGAAGGAAGGGGCCACGGCAGGUCAGUAUGCCCCGAA
rnacentral:rRNA from 1 species